UACGGGGGGGGGCAAGCGUUGUUCGGAAUUACUGGGCGUAAAGGGCUUGUAGGUGGCCAACUAAGUCAGACGUGAAAUCCCUCAGCUUAACUGGGGAACUGCGUCUGAUACUGGAUGGCUUGAGUUUGGGAGAGGGACGCGGAAUUCCAGGUGUAGCGGUGAAAUGCGCAGAUAUCAGGAGGAACACCGGUGGCGAAGGCGGGUCUCUGGGCCGUAACUGACGCUGAGGAGCGAAAGCGUGGGGAGCAAACAGG
rnacentral:rRNA from 1 species